GCGUGCCUAUACAUGCAAGUCGAGCGGACAGAUGGGAGCUUGCUCCCUGAUGUUAGCGGCGGACGGGUGAGUAACACGUGGGUAACCUGCCUGUAAGACUGGGAUAACUCCGGGAAACCGGGGCUAAUACCGGAUGCUUGUUUGAACCGCAUGGUUCAAACAUAAAAGGUGGCUUCGGCUACCACUUACAGAUGGACCCGCGGCGCAUUAGCUAGUUGGUGAGGUAACGGCUCACCAAGGCAACGAUGCGUAGCCGACCUGAGAGGGUGAUCGGCCACACUGGGACUGAGACACGGCCCAGACUCCUACGGGAGGCAGCAGUAGGGAAUCUUCCGCAAUGGACGAAAGUCUGACGGAGCAACGCCGCGUGAGUGAUGAAGGUUUUCGGAUCGUAAAGCUCUGUUGUUAGGGAAGAACAAGUACCGUUCGAAUAGGGCGGUACCUUGACGGUACCUAACCAGAAAGCCACGGCUAACUACGUGCCAGCAGCCGCGGUAAUACGUAGGUGGCAAGCGUUGUCCGGAAUUAUUGGGCGUAAAGGGCUCGCAGGCGGUUUCUUAAGUCUGAUGUGAAAGCCCCCGGCUCAACCGGGGAGGGUCAUUGGAAACUGGGGAACUUGAGUGCAGAAGAGGAGAGU
rnacentral:rRNA from 1 species